UCUCGGUGAUGAUCAUAACGAUGACGAGUCUGAUGAAAUUUCCAUUCAAAAAAAUCGUGAGGACAUAACGAGGCAUUUGUCUGAGAGAA